GAUCAUGGCUCAGGAUGAACGCUAGCGGCAGGCUUAAUACAUGCAAGUCAAGGGGGUAGCAAUACAACCGGCGCACGGGUGAGUAACGCGUACACAACAUACCAUAUACUGGAGUAUAGCUUUGGGAAACUGAAGGUAAUCCUCCAUAACAUUGCGAGAGGGCAUCUGAUUGCAAUUAAAGUUUCGGCGGUAUAUGAUUGGUGUGCGUUUGAUUAGCUAGUUGGUAGGGUAACGGCCUACCAAGGCGACGAUCAAUAGCUGGCGUGAGAGCGCGACCAGCCACACUGGAACUGAGACACGGUCCAGACUCCUACGGGAGGCAGCAGUAGGGAAUAUUGGACAAUGGAGGAAACUCUGAUCCAGCCAUGCCGCGUGAUAGAUGAAGGCCCUCUGGGUUGUAAAUAUCUUUUAUCUGGGAAGAAACACUCCUAUUCUUAGGAACUUGACGGUACCAGAGGAAUAAGCACCGGCUAACUCCGUG
rnacentral:rRNA from 1 species